AAUGAGCGUUAAGGAUGGAAGCGGCAUCCUUUGCUUUUUUUCUUUAAAAAAGCAAAGAUACAGCGCACAGCCUGACCUGAC
rnacentral:sRNA from 1 species